UGCCAGCCGCCGCGGUAAUACGAACUGUGCAAACGUUAUUCGGAAUCACUGGGCUUAAAGGGUGCGUAGGCGGGCUUGCAGGUCAGGUGUGAAAUCCCACGGCUCAACCGUGGAAUUGCGCUUGAAACCAUAAGUCUUGAGGGGAUCAGAGGAGAGCGGAACUGAUGGUGGAGCGGUGAAAUGCGUUGAUAUUAUCAGGAACACCGGUGGCGAAAGCGGCUCUCUGGGAUCUUUCUGACGCUGAGGCACGAAAGCUAGGGGAGCGAACGGGAUUAGAUA
rnacentral:rRNA from 1 species